rnacentral:other from 12 species
AUGGCGUUAGUACGAGUGUCGAACAGCCUCCAGGCCCCCCCCUCCCGGGAGAGCCAUAGUGGUCUGCGGAACCGGUGAGUACACCGGAAUCCCCAGGACGACCGGGUCCUUUCUUGGAUUAACCCGCUCCAUGCCUGGGUAUUUGGGCGUGCCCCCGCGAGACUGCUAGCCGAGUAGUGUUGGGUCGCGAAAGGCCUUGUGGU